GUAGUUGUGGCCAAGUGGUUAAGGCGAUAGACUGAAAAUCCAUUGGGGUUUCCCUGCGCAGGUUCAAAUUCUGCCAACUACG